AUUUUCUUGGAACCCCAAUGAUCAUCCACCGCACGUGGCUCACUAAAUCACAUACUGACAUACAUGUGCACUCUUUCUUUCUCUUGGAAGAACUGCACUUUUUGGCGACAUUAAGGUUGGUAUGGCAGCAAUCAGUUUAUUAGAAAUGUUUUGUACAUAUGAUUUGAUUUCCACAGUGUUUCACCAUUGAAAUCAAGUAUUACCGUUAAUAAUGAUCUCAUAUGUAUGUUUUGACUGCAGAAAGUAUUCCCAUGGAAGCUG
rnacentral:misc_RNA from 1 species